UCAAAUGGUUGGAUCUAAUUUAGUCUAUUCGGUUAAUUUUGCUUUACAUUCCGGUGGUUUGAUCCAAUUCCAACGUCCCAUGGCCGUAACGUUCACUUGACUUACGUGGCUUUGUAGGAAUCAUCAUCUUCUCUAUUUAUACGAGAAGAGUGAAGGUAAUUAUCUGGAUCUGGUAGGGGUUUUCUGGGAAUAUGAAGAAAGUUGGGGACACGUGGGAUGUAGCUUUGUUUAAGUUUAAAUUCUGACGUAAGAGAUAUUAUUCGGUGAGCCACAGACUUAUUAAGGUUUAUACUGUUUGUUCGGCGUUGGUUUGAAAUUGAAUCUUGAGUCAAAGGCGUGAGAGUUAUAGACCAACGAGAUUCUGCCAUUGAAGCAUCUAGAAAAAUUUCC
rnacentral:lncRNA from 1 species